GCCCCGUAAUCGGAAUGAGUACACUUUAAAUCCUUUAACAAGGAUCCAUUGGAGGGCAAGUCUGGUGCCAGCAGCCGCGGUAAUUCCAGCUCCAAUAGCGUAUAUUAAAGUUGUUGCGGUUAAAAAGCUCGUAGUUGGUUCUGCGUGCCGCGCUGUCGGUUCGCCGCCUGUCGGUGUAACUGGCAUGUCGCGGCAUGUCCUGUCGGUGGUGAACGGAGUCCACAAUGCUACAUAGGCUUUAUAGCCGAUGUUAGCGUCGUGUGUACUUCCGUUGGCCGAUCUCUCCUACUUCGGUGCUCUUAAACGAGUGUCGAGGUAGGCCGACACGUUCACUUUGAACAAAUUAGAGUGCUUAAAGCAGGCUAAAAUCUCUGCCUGAAUAGUGGUGCAUGGAAUGAUAAAACAGGACCUCGGUUCUAUUUUGUUGGUUUUAGGAAUAUGAGGUAAUG
rnacentral:rRNA from 1 species